rnacentral:tRNA from 1 species
GCCUCGGUGGCUCUGAGGCGAGAGCGCCGGCCUGCGGAUCCCCAGUUAGCGGGUUCAAGUCCCGACCGAGGUG